rnacentral:rRNA from 1 species
UACAGAGACUGCAAGCGUUAUUCGGAUUCACUGGGCGUAAAGGGUGCGCAGGCGGCCGUGUGUGUGAGGCGUGAAAGCCCGGGGCUUAACCCCGGAAUUGCACCUCAAACUACAUGGCUAGAGCAUUGGAGAGGGGAGCGGAAUUCACGGUGUAGCAGUGAAAUGCGUAGAUAUCGUGAGGAACACCAGAGGCGAAGGCGGCUACCUGGACAAUUGCUGACGCUCAGGCACGAAAGCGUGGGGAGCAAAAGGG